CCUAAGCUGAGGCCGACAGGCGUAGGCGAUGGAUAACAGGUUGAUAUUCCUGUACCACCUAUAAUCGUUUUAAUCGAUGGGGGGACGCAGUAGGAUAGGCGAAGCGUGCGAUUGGAUUGCACGUCUAAGCAGUAAGGCUGAGUAUUAGGCAAAUCCGGUACUCGUUAAGGCUGAGCUGUGAUGGGGAGAAGACAUUGUGUCUUCGAGUCGUUGAUUUCACACUGCCGAGAAAAGCCUCUAGAUAGAAAAUAGGUGCCCGUACCGCAAACCGACACAGGUAGUCAAGAUGAGAAUUCUAAGGUGAGCGAGCGAACUCUCGUUAAGGAACUCGGCAAAAUGACCCCGUAACUUCGGGAGAAGGGGUGCUCUUUAGGGUUAACGCCCAGAAGAGCCGCAGUGAAUAGGCCCAAGCGACUGUUUAUCAAAAACACAGGUCUCUGCUAAACCGUAAGGUGAUGUAUAGGGGCUGACGCCUGCCCGGUGCUGGAAGGUUAAGAGGAGUGGUUAGCUUCUGCGAAGCUACGAAUCGAAGCCCCAGUAAACGGCGGCCGUAACUAUAACGGUCCUAAGGUAGCGAAAUUCCUUGUCGGGUAAGUUCCGACCCGCACGAAAGGCGUAACGAUUUGGGCACUGUCUCAACGAGAGACUCGGUGAAAUCAUAGUACCUGUGAAGAUGCAGGUUACCCGCGACAGGACGGAAAGACCCCGUGGAGCUUUACUGUAGCCUGAUAUUGAAAUUCGGCACAGCUUGUACAGGAUAGGUAGGAGCCUUUGAAACGUGAGCGCUAGCUUACGUGGAGGCGCUGGUGGGAUACUACCCUAGCUG
rnacentral:rRNA from 1 species